UGGGGAAUAUUGCACAAUGGGGGAAACCCUGAUGCAGCGACGCCGCGUGAGCGAAGAAGGUUUUCGAAUCGUAAAGCUCUGUCCUAUGCGAAGAUAAUGACGGUAUCAUAGGAGGAAGCCCCGGCUAAAUACGUGCCAGCAGCCGCGGUAAUACGUAGGUCCCGAGCGUUGUCCGGAUUUAUUGGGCGUAAAGCGAGCGCAGGCGGUUAGAAAAGUCUGAAGUGAAAGGCAGUGGCUCAACCAUUGUAGGCUUUGGAAACUGUUUGACUUGAGUGCAGAAGGGGAGAGUGGAAUUCCAGGUGUAGCGGUGAAAUGCGUAGAUAUAUGGAGGAACACCGGUGGCGAAAGCGGCUCUCUAGUCUGUAACUGACGCUGAGGCUAGAAAGCGUGGGGAGCGAACAGG
rnacentral:rRNA from 1 species